rnacentral:tRNA from 1 species
GGAUUGUGGCUCAGUGGUAGAGCGCUCACCUAGCACGGUGGGACCCAGGUUCGAUUCUUAGCACCA